GUUCGUUUCAAUCUAAGCUUCAGAUUCAAACAACUCGUUUGUUCAAAGUAAGCUUCAAAUUCUCCUCAAAUUCUUCAAUUAACCUUCAAAAUCAACUUCAGGUACGAUGCAGCUGUGUUGACAUCUCUGAUGACAGUGUCCUAUCGGUCAAUUCAAUCACAAAUUUCUUACGGUUGUGCAAAUCUGAGUCCCAAGCACUACAAGAUUACUCUGAAGUAGAACAGUAGUAAAGUGAAAGGCUUCUUGUUUAUUCUACAACAUCUAUCUGGCAUGGCUGGUAGUUGCUAGUUCUUUGUAUCAGGUAACCUUUAGCUUUAAGCUUUUUGUUAUUUGAGGUGUAAGGUGAAA